UACGGAGGGUGCGAGCGUUAAUCGGAAUUACUGGGCGUAAAGUGCACGCAGGCGGUUUGUUAAGCUAGAUGUGAAAGCCCCGGGCUCAACCUGGGAUGGUCAUUUAGAACUGGCAGACUAGAGUCUUGGAGAGGGGAGUGGAAUUCCAGGUGUAGCGGUGAAAUGCGUAGAUAACUGGAGGAACAUCAGUGGCGAAGGCGACUCCCUGGCCAAAGACUGACGCUCAUGUGCGAAAGUGUGGGUAGCGAACAGC
rnacentral:rRNA from 1 species